UACGUAGGUGGCAAGCGUUGUCCGGAAUUAUUGGGCGUAAAGCGCGCGCAGGCGGUCCUUUAAGUCUGAUGUGAAAGCCCACGGCUCAACCGUGGAGGGUCAUUGGAAACUGGAGGACUUGAGUGCAGAAGAGGAAAGUGGAAUUCCAAGUGUAGCGGUGAAAUGCGUAGAGAUUUGGAGGAACACCAGUGGCGAAGGCGGCCAGCUGGGAUACACCUGACGCUGAGGCACGAAGGCGUGGGGAGCGAACGGG
rnacentral:rRNA from 1 species